ACAAGGGCCAGGGGGUGACAUAGCUUCCCCCCUCCCACUGCAUGCAGCAGGAAUCACAGCAACUCAGGCCACCUAGGCCUGAGCCAGUCCUUCCCACAGAGGCCUUGACUUGUCCAGAGGGCCUCCAGGGAGCAGGGGUAACAGCUCAGAAUGCAGGGAACUAACACACCACAGUUAAAACCCUGACUAAUGAGAGAAGUGGUGGGAAGACACUGGAGGUAAAGUGCCCUCCUCUGCUCCAGGGAUGCCAUACCCAUGGCCUUGGAACCUGCUAAGGGCGGCUUUGCAGGCACUCGUAAUAUUUGGAAGAAAACUCAGGAAAUGAUCUUUAGAAUCUCAGGCAAAGAAAAAGAUAAAUCAUGUCUUAAACAUGACACCAAAAGUGAAAGAAGAAGAUAAAGGAAAAGGUUGAAGUCAAUUUCACUAAAGAACUCUGUUCAACAAAAAUAUCGUAUAGAGUGAGAAGACAAUCCAGAGACAGAAAGAAGAUAAUUGUAACGCAUAAAACUGGCAAAAAGUUGGUGCCUAGAAUCUUUAAAGAGCUGCCAAUCAAUAAGAUUAGCCUAUUGUUUAAAUGGGAAAGAGACAGACAUUUCAGAGAUGAAGAAACACAAAAGGACUACAAACAUGAAAAGAUGCCCAACCUCCUUAAUAAAAGGGAAGUGCAAACUACAACCAAAAUGAGAUACACAAGUACAUGGCCUCCUAGGUUGGCAGAAAUUUAAAAAUAAAGCAUUGCCUAAUGUCAAGUAAGGGCAGGAAAGUAGACCAAUGGAAAUUCUCCUAUACUAUUGGUGAUUGUUAAACCACUUGGACCGGUUGGCCUUAUCUGAUAAAAUUAAAGACAUGCAUACCUUA